rnacentral:tRNA from 1 species
CAUGUCCUAGUGGUGAUUAUCAUACCUCAUUUUCGAUGAGGAGAAGAAAGGAUAUAU